AAACUCAAAUGAAUUGACGGGGGCCCGCACAAGCAGCGGAGCAUGUGGUUUAAUUCGAAGCAACGCGAAGAACCUUACCUAGACUUGACAUCUCCUGCAUUACCCUUAAUCGGGGAAGCCCUUUCGGGGCAGGAAGACAGGUGGUGCAUGGUUGUCGUCAGCUCGUGUCGUGAGAUGUUGGGUUAAGUCCCGCAACGAGCGCAACCCUUAUUUUUAGUUGCUACCAUUCAGUUGAGCACUCUAAAGAGACUGCCCGGGUUAACCGGGAGAAGUGGGGAUGACGUCAAGUCCUCAUGGCCCUUAUGUCCAGGGCUACACACGUGCUACAAUGGCCGGUACAAAGGGCAGCAAAGCCGCGAGGUGGAGCCAAUCCCAGAAAGCCGGUCUCAGUUCGGAUUGGAGUCUGCAACUCGACUCCAUGAAGUUGGAAUCGCUAGUAAUCGCGGAUCAGCAUGCCGCGGUGAAUACGUUCCCGGGCCUU
rnacentral:rRNA from 1 species